GAAAUACAAUCAAAAUAAAACAUAACAAUAAAAAAAAUAAAAACUUAGCCCUCCAAAGGCUCAGAAUCCUCCUCGCUACCGGCUUCAGAACCGGUAGCCUCAUCAUCUUCAUCAUCAACUGCAGCACCAGAAGAAGACGCACCAGCACUUGCCCCCUCACCAAACACAGGCCUGUCCACAGGCCAGUUAGCGUUAAGCACAAAC
rnacentral:lncRNA from 1 species